rnacentral:misc_RNA from 1 species
GAGACAGAUUCUAAAUUUUCGUGAUCGACUUGGGGAAGAGUACGGGCGUGAGCUGGGAUCUUAGAAGAAGAGAUGAAGGUAAGAUCUUCGGUGAAGAAACUCUGUGAAUUUUGUAAGACGGUGAAACGUCGAGGUAGAGUCUACAUACUCUGCACUGCCAAUCCGAAGCAUAAGCAGCGACAGGGCAUGUCUACACUUGCUUAUGAAGGUCCAC